rnacentral:rRNA from 1 species
GACGAACGCUGGCGGCGUGCUUAACACAUGCAAGUCGAACGGAAAGGCCCUGCUUUUGUGGGGUGCUCGAGUGGCGAACGGGUGAGUAACACGUGAGUAACCUGCCCUUGACUUUGGGAUAACUUCAGGAAACUGGGGCUAAUACCGGAUAGGAGCUCCUGCUGCAUGGUGGGGGUUGGAAAGUUUCGGCGGUUGGGGAUGGACUCGCGGCUUAUCAGCUUGUUGGUGGGGUAGUGGCUUACCAAGGCUUUGACGGGUAGCCGGCCUGAGAGGGUGACCGGCCACAUUGGGACUGAGAUACGGCCCAGACUCCUACGGGAGGCAGCAGUGGGGAAUAUUGCACAAUGGGCGGAAGCCUGAUGCAGCAACGCCGCGUGCGGGAUGACGGCCUUCGGGUUGUAAACCGCUUUCGCCUGUGACGAAGCGUGAGUGACGGUAAUGGGUAAAGAAGCACCGGCUAACUACGUGCCAGCAGCCGCGGUGAUACGUAGGGUGCGAGCGUUGUCCGGAUUUAUUGGGCGUAAAGGGCUCGUAGGUGGUUGAUCGCGUCGGAAGUGUAAUCUUGGGGCUUAACCCUGAGCGUGCUUUCGAUACGGGUUGACUUGAGGAAGGUAGGGGAGAAUGGAAUUCCUGGUGGAGCGGUGGAAUGCGCAGAUAUCAGGAGGAACACCAGUGGCGAAGGCGGUUCUCUGGGCCUUUCCUGACGCUGAGGAGCGAAAGCGUGGGGAGCGAACAGGCUUAGAUACCCUGGUAGUCCACGCUGUAAACGGUGGGUACUAGGUGUGGGGUCCAUUCCACGGGUUCCGUGCCGUAGCUAACGCUUUAAGUACCCCGCCUGGGGAGUACGGCCGCAAGGCUAAAACUCAAAGGAAUUGACGGGGCCCCGCACAAGCGGCGGAGCAUGCGGAUUAAUUCGAUGCAACGCGUAGAACCUUACCUGGGUUUGACAUGGAUCGGGAGUGCUCAGAGAUGGGUGUGCCUCUUUUGGGGUCGGUUCACAGGUGGUGCAUGGCUGUCGUCAGCUCGUGUCGUGAGAUGUUGGGUUAAGUCCCGCAACGAGCGCAACCCUUGUUCACUGUUGCCAGCACGUUAUGGUGGGGACUCAGUGGAGACCGCCGGGGUCAACUCGGAGGAAGGUGGGGAUGGCGUCAAGUCAUCAUGCCCCUUAUGUCCAGGGCUUCACGCAUGCUACAAUGGCUGGUACAGAGAGUGGCGAGCCUGUGAGGGUGAGCGAAUCUCGGAAAGCCGGUCUCAGUUCGGAUUGGGGUCUGCAACUCGACCUCAUGAAGUCGGAGUCGCUAGUAAUCGCAGAUCAGCAACGCUGCGGUGAAUACGUUCCCGGGGCU